ACAGAAGACCAGAAGGAUUCAAGGUAUGACUGGGGUGCUUGCAGGACGUCUGUUUGUGUCUGUUUUUUAGAUCUCCAAUGAAAGUACAGUUUUAGGGAAGGAGGUGUGCCCAGUAUACAGGGCGCUUCCUGUCCCUUCCCCCUUGGCUCUCUGUCAUUGGUCACACUGCCUACAGGUGUGCCCAGUAUACAGGGAGAUUCCCAUGCCUUCCUUCUUGGCUCUCUGUCAUUGGUCACACUGCCUACAGGUGUCCCCACUAUAUUGGGAGAUUCCCUUGCAUUCCUUCUUGGCUCUCUGUCAUUGGUCACACUGCCUACA